rnacentral:rRNA from 1 species
GACGAACGCUGGCGGCGUGCUUAACACAUGCAAGUCGAACGGAAAGGCCCUGCUUUUGUGGGGUGCUCGAGUGGCGAACGGGUGAGUAACACGUGAGUAACCUGCCCUUGACUUUGGGAUAACUUCAGGAAACUGGGGCUAAUACCGGAUAGGAGCUCCUGCUGCAUGGUGGGGGUUGGAAAGUUUCGGCGGUUGGGGAUGGACUCGCGGCUUAUCAGCUUGUUGGUGGGGUAGUGGCUUACCAAGGCUUUGACGGGUAGCCGGCCUGAGAGGGUGACCGGCCACAUUGGGACUGAGGUACGGCCCAGACUCCUACGGGAGGCAGCAGUGGGGAAUAUUGCACAAUGGGCGGAAGCCUGAUGCAGCAACGCCGCGUGCGGGAUGACGGCCUUCGGGUUGUAACCCGCUUUCGCCUGUGACGAAGCGUGAGUGACGGUAAUGGGUAAAGAAGCACCGGCUAACUACGUG